CCUACGUGAGGCAGCAGUGAGGAAUAUUGGUCAAUGGGCUUACGCCUGAACCAGCCAAGUCGCGUGAGGGAAGACUGCCCUAUGGGUUGUAAACCUCUUUUGUCAGGGAGCAACGCCGGCUACGUGUAGCCGGACUGAGAGUACCUGAAGAAAAAGCAUCGGCUAACUCCGUGCCAGCAGCCGCGGUAAUACGGGGGAUGCGACCGUUAUCCGGAUUUAUUGGGUUUAAGGGGUGCGUAGGCGGAAUGCCAAGUCAGCGGUAAAAUCGCGGGGCUCAACCUCGCUCCGCCGUUGAAACUGGCGUUCUUGAGUGGGCGAGAAGUAUGCGGAAUGCGUGGUGUAGCGGUGAAAUGCAUAGAUAUCACGCAGAACUCCGAUUGCGAAGGCAGCAUACCGGCGCCCAACUGACGCUGAAGCACGAAAGCGUGGGUAUCGAACAGGAUUAGAUACCCGGGUAGUC
rnacentral:rRNA from 1 species